rnacentral:lncRNA from 1 species
UCAGAUUAUUGUAGUCAAGUGGAUGCACAUUGUCAGAUUCUUCUAGGCACUAGGUCCCAAACAUCAUGUUUUAAUUUUUCACAACUUGUAACUCAAUGAUAUACCAAUCAGAGAACACAUUUUAGAUAUAUUCAAAUAACAACCAAAUCACCAAUAUACCAAUCAAGUUUAUUACAUUCCACCAAUCACAAUAUAGCCAUACAAUAUUACACCAAUCACAAUAUAGCACUCUACAGAUAAAACGCUCAACAAGUACAGGCACGUCUCCAACACCUUAGCGCCUUGAGCCUGCAAAACAUCACAUCCAGCCACGUAUUAAUGAUCAAAUCAAUUCACCCCUUUACGGCAAUAAAAAACGGUGCUCAUGUAUGAACGAAAAUAAAAUAAACAAUCUUUGAGGCCAUAGCAUGUGCUACAAAAAUCUUAACAAAUGCAUAGAUGUCCACACAGAGCACAUCCUACAUGCACCAAGCAUCAGGCAUAUGUUCAAGAAGACAAGUAAUUUGAGAUGGAAACAAGUACAGCUAACAAUCUGACAUGUGUAGUAGCACCAGCAAAAGAGCAAGACAUGGAAGAAUUUACAAGAACAACACCCUGGGAGUCCAAUUACAUGUACAUGAGGUACUGCUGCUAGUGUAUAACAAAGCAUGAGUCCAGCUUGUGUAGGAGCAGAGCAUGAGUCCAACAAAGCAUGUUAUAGGAGCAGAAAAGAGGGAGCUAGGGGUAGGAGAUGGAGCCAGCUCACCGAAGAACUUGGGAGUCCAGCUUGGGUCCUUGUUAAUCUGUUGCUGCUCCGGUAGCUCUCGUGUGCGGGUAUAAGAUCAGAUCCAACUGACUGGAAGCGGCCGUUUGUCGAGCGAUCUUUCAUUUCCUGGUCUGCAACAAGAGGUAAAUGCUAGAGAUUAGCAACUGCUGCCAAACCCAAUGUGACAAAGAGGUAAGCACUAUAAACUGGAUUUAUAAAAAUUAACAGUAUAAGUAAAAGGCAGAGCCUGUGCAAGUUUAUCAGUACAAACUGGAUUUAUAAACAAAAUCUAAUGGUAUAAACAAAAGGCAGAGACUGUACUGUGCAAGUUUAGCACUAUAAACUAAAUUUAUAAACAAAAUUUAACAGCACAGACAAAAUGCAGAUACUAUGUACUGACUACUGUGCUUGUUUAAGAUGAAUUUUGUUCAAUGCUGCUGAUGAAUCUUGUGCUUGUUCUAGCCGAGGAGAACUGAGUAGUGAG